rnacentral:rRNA from 1 species
UUAAGCGACUAAGCGUACACGGUGGAUGCCCUGGCAGUCAGAGGCGAUGAAGGACGUGCUAAUCUGCGAUAAGCGUCGGUAAGGUGAUAUGAACCGUUAUAACCGGCGAUUUCCGAAUGGGGAAACCCAGUGUGAUUCGUCACACUAUCAUUAACUGAAUCCAUAGGUUAAUGAGGCGAACCGGGGGAACUGAAACAUCUAAGUACCCCGAGGAAAAGAAAUCAACCGAGAUUCCCCCAGUAGCGGCGAGCGAACGGGGAGCAGCCCAGAGCCUGAAUCAGUGUGUGUGUUAGUGGAAGCGUCUGGAAAGGCGUGCGAUACAGGGUGACAGCCCCGUACACAAAAAUGCACAUGCUGUGAGCUCGAUGAGUAGGGCGGGACACGUGGUAUCCUGUCUGAAUAUGGGGGGACCAUCCUCCAAGGCUAAAUACUCCUGACUGACCGAUAGUGAACCAGUACCGUGAGGGAAAGGCGAAAAGAACCCCGGCGAGGGGAGUGAAAAAGAACCUGAAACCGUGUACGUACAAGCAGUGGGAGCACGCUUAGGCGUGUGACUGCGUACCUUUUGUAUAAUGGGUCAGCGACUUAUAUUCUGUAGCAAGGUUAACCGAAUAGGGGAGCCGAAGGGAAACCGAGUCUUAACUGGGCGUUAAGUUGCAGGGUAUAGACCCGAAACCCGGUGAUCUAGCCAUGGGCAGGUUGAAGGUUGGGUAACACUAACUGGAGGACCGAACCGACUAAUGUUGAAAAAUUAGCGGAUGACUUGUGGCUGGGGGUGAAAGGCCAAUCAAACCGGGAGAUAGCUGGUUCUCCCCGAAAGCUAUUUAGGUAGCGCCUCGUGAAUUCAUCUCCGGGGGUAGAGCACUGUUUCGGCAAGGGGGUCAUCCCGACUUACCAACCCGAUGCAAACUGCGAAUACCGGAGAAUGUUAUCACGGGAGACACACGGCGGGUGCUAACGUCCGUCGUGAAGAGGGAAACAACCCAGACCGCCAGCUAAGGUCCCAAAGUCAUGGUUAAGUGGGAAACGAUGUGGGAAGGCCCAGACAGCCAGGAUGUUGGCUUAGAAGCAGCCAUCAUUUAAAGAAAGCGUAAUAGCUCACUGGUCGAGUCGGCCUGCGCGGAAGAUGUAACGGGGCUAAACCAUGCACCGAAGCUGCGGCAGCGACACUAUGUGUUGUUGGGUAGGGGAGCGUUCUGUAAGCCUGUGAAGGUGUACUGUGAGGUAUGCUGGAGGUAUCAGAAGUGCGAAUGCUGACAUAAGUAACGAUAAAGCGGGUGAAAAGCCCGCUCGCCGGAAGACCAAGGGUUCCUGUCCAACGUUAAUCGGGGCAGGGUGAGUCGACCCCUAAGGCGAGGCCGAAAGGCGUAGUCGAUGGGAAACAGGUUAAUAUUCCUGUACUUGGUGUUACUGCGAAGGGGGGACGGAGAAGGCUAUGUUGGCCGGGCGACGGUUGUCCCGGUUUAAGCGUGUAGGCUGGUUUUCCAGGCAAAUCCGGAAAAUCAAGGCUGAGGCGUGAUGACGAGGCACUACGGUGCUGAAGCAACAAAUGCCCUGCUUCCAGGAAAAGCCUCUAAGCAUCAGGUAACAUCAAAUCGUACCCCAAACCGACACAGGUGGUCAGGUAGAGAAUACCAAGGCGCUUGAGAGAACUCGGGUGAAGGAACUAGGCAAAAUGGUGCCGUAACUUCGGGAGAAGGCACGCUGAUAUGUAGGUGAAGUCCCUCGCGGAUGGAGCUGAAAUCAGUCGAAGAUACCAGCUGGCUGCAACUGUUUAUUAAAAACACAGCACUGUGCAAACACGAAAGUGGACGUAUACGGUGUGACGCCUGCCCGGUGCCGGAAGGUUAAUUGAUGGGGUCAGCGCAAGCGAAGCUCUUGAUCGAAGCCCCGGUAAACGGCGGCCGUAACUAUAACGGUCCUAAGGUAGCGAAAUUCCUUGUCGGGUAAGUUCCGACCUGCACGAAUGGCGUAAUGAUGGCCAGGCUGUCUCCACCCGAGACUCAGUGAAAUUGAACUCGCUGUGAAGAUGCAGUGUACCCGCGGCAAGACGGAAAGACCCCGUGAACCUUUACUAUAGCUUGACACUGAACAUUGAGCCUUGAUGUGUAGGAUAGGUGGGAGGCUUUGAAGUGUGGACGCCAGUCUGCAUGGAGCCGACCUUGAAAUACCACCCUUUAAUGUUUGAUGUUCUAACGUUGACCCGUGAUCCGGGUUGCGGACAGUGUCUGGUGGGUAGUUUGACUGGGGCGGUCUCCUCCUAAAGAGUAACGGAGGAGCACGAAGGUUGGCUAAUCCUGGUCGGACAUCAGGAGGUUAGUGCAAUGGCAUAAGCCAGCUUGACUGCGAGCGUGACGGCGCGAGCAGGUGCGAAAGCAGGUCAUAGUGAUCCGGUGGUUCUGAAUGGAAGGGCCAUCGCUCAACGGAUAAAAGGUACUCCGGGGAUAACAGGCUGAUACCGCCCAAGAGUUCAUAUCGACGGCGGUGUUUGGCACCUCGAUGUCGGCUCAUCACAUCCUGGGGCUGAAGUAGGUCCCAAGGGUAUGGCUGUUCGCCAUUUAAAGUGGUACGCGAGCUGGGUUUAGAACGUCGUGAGACAGUUCGGUCCCUAUCUGCCGUGGGCGCUGGAGAAUUGAGGGGGGCUGCUCCUAGUACGAGAGGACCGGAGUGGACGCAUCACUGGUGUUCGGGUUGUCAUGCCAAUGGCACUGCCCGGUAGCUAAAUGCGGAAGAGAUAAGUGCUGAAAGCAUCUAAGCACGAAACUUGCCCCGAGAUGAGUUCUCCCUGACUCCUUGAGAGUCCUGAAGGAACGUUGAAGACGACGACGUUGAUAGGCCGGGUGUGUAAGCGCAGCGAUGCGUUGAGCUAACCGGUACUAAUGAACCGUGAGGCUUAACCUU